GGGGAUUUAGCUCAGUGGUUCAGCACCUGCAUCGCAAGCAAAAGGUCCUGAGUUCGAUCCCCAGUACCCCCC
rnacentral:tRNA from 1 species